rnacentral:rRNA from 1 species
UACAGAGGUCUCAAGCGUUGUUCGGAUUCAUUGGGCGUAAAGGGUGCGUAGGUGGCGCCGUAAGUCAGGUGUGAAAUUUCGGAGCUUAACUCCGAAACUGCAUUUGAUACUGCGGUGCUUGAGGACUGGAGAGGAGACUGGAAUUUACGGUGUAGCAGUGAAAUGCGUAGAGAUCGUAAGGAAGACCAGUGGCGAAGGCGGGUCUCUG